rnacentral:rRNA from 1 species
GACGAACGCUGGCGGCACGCUUAAAACAUGCAAGUCGAACGAGAAGCUUUGGUGCUUGCACCGAAGUGGAAAGUGGCGAACGGGUGAGUAACACGUGAGAAACCUGCCUAGAAGACCGGGACAACUAAUGGAAACGUUAGCUAAUACCGGAUACCUUUAUUUUUUCUCCUGAUUUAAUAAAGAAAGCUCCGGCGCUUCUAGAUGGUCUCGCGUCCUAUCAGCUUGUUGGUGAGGUAAAAGCUCACCAAGGCAACGACGGGUAGCUGGUCUGAGAGGAUGUCCAGCCACAUUGGAACUGAGAUACGGUCCAAACUCCUACGGGAGGCAGCAGUUAGGAAUCUUGCACAAUGGGGGAAACCCUGAUGCAGCGAUGCCGCGUGCGGGAUGAAGGCCCUAGGGUUGUAAACCGCUUUCAGUUGGGAAGAAAGUGACGGUACCAACAGAAGAAGCCCCGGCCAACUAUGUGCCAGCAGCCGCGGUAAAGUCUGUACU